rnacentral:rRNA from 1 species
CCUACGGGCGGCAGCAGUGAGGAAUAUUGGUCAAUGGGCGCGAGCCUGAACCAGCCAAGUCGCGUGAGGGAGGACGGCCCUACGGGUUGUAAACCUCUUUUGCCGGGGAGCAACGGGCGUCACGUGUGGCGCCACUGAGAGUACCCGGAGAAAAAGCAUCGGCUAACUCCGUGCCAGCAGCCGCGGUAAUACGGAGGAUGCGAGCGUUAUCCGGAUUCAUUGGGUUUAAAGGGUGCGCAGGCGGGCCUUUAAGCCGGCGGUGAAAUCGCGGGGCUCAACCCCGCCGAGCCGUCGGAACUGGGGGCCUUGAGUGCGGCGGAGGCAUGCGGAAUGCGCGGUGUAGCGGUGAAAUGCAUAGAUAUCGCGCAGAACCCCGAUUGCGAAGGCAGCGUGCCGUGCCGCCACUGACGCUGAGGCACGAAAGCGCGGGGAUCGAACAGGAUUAGAUACCCUAGUAGUC